rnacentral:lncRNA from 1 species
UAAGAAGCUAGGCGGACGGCUCGAUGCGCGCGAAUUUAUGAUGUUAAUAUGCACGUAAUAUUUAUGAUUAGGUAUUCUUGUUUAUGUGGGUCGGCUAGCGCUUCGACAGUCCUUCGCAGGUUCGACAAAACCACUGUGGUGCUGUUAGGGGCAUAGCGUCCUCGAACUGUCUUCUCUUUUGGUAAGACUGGAAGAUAGACAUCGUUCUGAUAGCGGAGGACACCAAUGCUGUUAACCACACGAUAGAAUGGCUCUGGAACAAUGGGGAUGUGCCGUAUAGUCUGGAUUAAGGGAUUCGAAACGUCCAGAUCUUUCGAGUAACCAGAUAGAGGGUUAGGCUUCGUAAACAUGCCCUGCUGGCGGGACAUUCUUGCUUCGGCCAGUCCCAGGCCAGCGCGAUAGAUAGAACGCACAUUAACUUCAACCGCUGGAGUUAAUUUAGAAA